GAUGAACGCUGGCGGCAGGCUUAACACAUGCAAGUCGAGCGGAGAUGAGGUGCUUGCACCUUAUCUUAGCGGCGGACGGGUGAGUAAUGCUUAGGAAUCUGCCUAUUAGUGGGGGACAACAUUCCGAAAGGAAUGCUAAUACCGCAUACGCCCAACGGGGGAAAGCAGGGGAUCUUCGGACCUUGCGCUAAUAGAUGAGCCUAAGUCGGAUUAGCUAGUUGGUGGGGUAAAGGCCGACCAAGGCGACGACCUGUAGCGGGUCUGAGAGGAUGAUCCGCCACACUGGGACUGAGACACGGCCCAGACUCCUACGGGAGGCAGCAGUGGGGAAUAUUGGACAAUGGGCGGAAGCCUGAUCCAGCCAUGCCGCGGGUGUGAAGAAGGCCUUUUGGUUGUAAAGCACUUUAAGCGAGGAGGAGGCUACUUAGAUUAAUACUCUAGGAUAGUGGACGUUACUCGCAGAAUAAGCACCGGCUAACUCUGUGCCAGCAGCCGCAGUAAAAC
rnacentral:rRNA from 1 species